rnacentral:tRNA from 1 species
AAGCAAGAAGCAAUUAGUUGCAUUCAAUUUCGACCUGACCGUUGACCCCCCAAGUCCUUGCUUA